CCUACGGGAGGCAGCAGUGGGGGAUAUUGCACAAUGGGGGGAACCCUGAUGCAGCGACGCCGCGUGGGUGAAGGAGCGUUUCGGCGCGUAAAGCCCUAUCGGCAGGGAAGAAGAAGGACGGUACCUGACUAAGAAGCCCCGGCUAACUACGUGCCAGCAGCCGCGGUAAUACGUAGGGGGCAAGCGUUAUCCGGAUUUACUGGGGGUAAAGGGGGCGCAGACGGCAGCGCAAGCCAGGAGUGAAAGCCCGUGGCCCAACCCCGGGACUGCUCUUGGAACUGCGCGGCGGGAGUGCAGGAGGGGCAGGCGGAAUUCCUGGUGUAGCGGUGAAAUGCGUAGAUAUCAGGAGGAACACCGGUGGCGAAGGCGGCCUGCUGGACUGCGACUGACAUUGAUGCUCGAAAGUGUGGGUAUCAAACAGGAUUAGAUACCCGGGUAGUC
rnacentral:rRNA from 1 species